AAAACAGAUUCCUGUGGUGUAUGUUAUAAUAUUACAUACAUGUCAAUUAUUGUCUUCUAAAGAACAUUAGAACAUUCUUUUAUUAAUUUUCUAAAUGGUUUUUAGUUAAAUAUUCUGAAUUUGAUAAGAAAUGUUUUAUUUUUAAUUUACCACUUGACCUAAAUAUAAUCCGUAUUGAUGUUAUUGAAUAUAACCACACCAGUGAGAAUAGUUUGCUUGUUCAUUUAGUGUAGUAAGUAGAAUUCUGCAUCAAAUCCAUAGAGGAUAAAAUCC